rnacentral:rRNA from 1 species
UACGUAGGGUGCGAGCGUUGUCCGGAAUUACUGGGCGUAAAGGGCUCGUAGGCGGCCAACUAAGUCAGACGUGAAAUCCCUCAGCUUAACUGGGGAACUGCGUCUGAUACUGGAUGGCUUGGAUUCGGGAGAGGAAUGCGGAAUUCCAGGUGCAGCGGUGAAAUGCGUAGAUAUCUGGAGGAACACCGGUGGCGAAGGCGGCAUUCUGGACCGAUAUUGACGCUGAGGAGCGAAAGCCAGGGGAGCAAACGGG